AUCCUGGGGCUGGAGAAGGUCCCAAGGGUAUGGCUGUUCGCCAUUUAAAGCGGUACGCGAGCUGGGUUCAGAACGUCGUGAGACAGUUUGGCCCCUAUCUCCUGUAAUCGAAGGAAAUUUGAGGGAAUCUAUUCCUAGUACGAGAGGACCGGAAUGGACGAACCACUGGUGUAUCAGCUGUCGUGUCAUCGGCAAUGCUGAGUAGCUACGUUCGGAAUGGAUAACCGCUGAAAGCAUCUAAGCGGGAAGCCAAUCCCAAGAUUAGAUUUCCCCAUUAGCCUGCCCAGAGACUAUGGGCUUGAUAGGCCUAAGGUGUAAGCACAGUGAUGUGUUCAGCCUACAGGUACUAAUAGGCGAUUGAACUUAAUUC
rnacentral:rRNA from 1 species